AUUGAACGCUGGCGGCAUGCCUAACACAUGCAAGUCGAGCGGAGGAAGGGGUCCUGCUCCUGGUUUGAGGGGCGGACGGGUGAGUAAUGCCUAGGAAACUCCCUGGUAGUGUGCGAUAACGUUCGGAAACGGGCGCUAAUACCGCAUACGUUUUGAGGGAGAAAGUGGGGGAGGUUCGGACGUCACGCUAUCAGAUGAGCCUAGGUCGGAGUAGCUAGGUGGUGGGGUAAAGGCCUACCAAGGCGAUGAUCCGUAAAUGGUCUGAGAGGAUGAUCAGGCACACUGACACUGAGACACGGUCCCGACUCCUACGGGAGGCAGCAGUAGCGAAUAUUGGUCAUGGGCCGUAAGCCUAAUCCAGCCAUACCGAGUGUGUGUAGAAGGUCUCCGCCUUGUGAAGCACAUUUCGUUGGGAGGGAGGGCAAUCAGUUAGUUUCUUACUGUUUUGACGUUACCGACAGAAUAAGCACCGGCUAACUACGUG
rnacentral:rRNA from 1 species